rnacentral:rRNA from 1 species
GGAGUACGGCCGCAAGGCUAAAACUCAAAGGAAUUGACGGGGGCCCGCACAAGCGGCGGAGCAUGCGGAUUAAUUCGAUGCAACGCGAAGAACCUUACCAAGGCUUGACAUAUACGAGAACGGGCCAGAAAUGGUCAACUCUUUGGACACUCGUAUACAGGUGGUGCAUGGUUGUCGUCAGCUCGUGUCGUGAGAUGUUGGGUUAAGUCCCGCAACGAGCGCAACCCUCGUCGCAUGUUGCCAGCACGUCAUGGUGGGGACUCAUGUGAGACUGCCGGGGUCAACUCGGAGGAAGGUGGGGAUGACGUCAAAUCAUCAUGCCCCUUAUGUCUUGGGCUUCACGCAUGCUACAAUGGCCGGUACAAAGGGCUGCGAUGUCGUAAGGCGGAGCGAAUCCCAAAAAGCCGGUCUCAGUUCGGAUUGAGGUCUGCAACUCGACCUCAUGAAGUCGGAGUCGCUAGUAAUCGCAGAUCAGCAACGCUGCGGUGAAUACGUUCCCGGGCCUUGUACACACCGCCCGUCAAGUCAUGAAAGUCGGUAACACCCGAAGCCGGUGGCCUAACCCUAGU